UGGGGAAUAUUGCACAAUGGGCGCAAGCCUGAUGCAGCCAUGCCGCGUGUAUGAAGAAGGCCUUCGGGUUGUAAAGUACUUUCAGCGGGGAGGAAGGGAGUAAAGUUAAUACCUUUGCUCAUUGACGUUACCCGCAGAAGAAGCACCGGCUAACUCCGUGCCAGCAGCCGCGGUAAUACGGAGGGUGCAAGCGUUAAUCGGAAUUACUGGGCGUAAAGCGCACGCAGGCGGUUUGUUAAGUCAGAUGUGAAAUCCCCGGGCUCAACCUGGGAACUGCAUCUGAGACUGGCAAGCUUGGGUCUCGUAGAGGGGGGUAGAAUUCCAGGUGUAGCGGUGAAAUGCGUAGAGAUCUGGAGGAAUACCGGUGGCGAAGGCGGCCCCCUGGACGAAGACUGACGCUCAGGUGCGAAAGCGUGGGGAGCAAACAGG
rnacentral:rRNA from 1 species